GGACAAGUGGAUGAGAUAUGAAUAGGGAUACUGAUACGGCGGUAAGUACAUACGAGUUAAGUUGGGUGAUACGGAUACUAUUCAAGCCAGACGAGCACUUCCUCCUCCUAAACGACUCCUUCGAGAACUCCUUAAGAAUACCUUCGAAUAGUUCAUCUGCAGGACAACAAAGAGUUAGAGGGCUAAGGAAUUUUUCCUACUAAGCAUUUAGACGAUCAAGUUAGAGAUAAUGCUUCCACAUAAGCAAAUAUUCAACAAGUGGACUUAAUUUAUUCAUAUUGGUUAUG
rnacentral:misc_RNA from 1 species